UACCCAGGUGUGGUUUUCCUGCCAUGAUAGGAUCAGACAAUGGACCAGCUUUUAUCUCGCAGAGGGCUCCAGAAGGUGCACGAGGACAUUUGGCCGCACCUCUGUGCCAUCUAUGAGGCCGGCCCAACCCCGACACAUCACCAGUACAGGCCGGGAGACUGGGUCUACGUCAAGAGGCACCACCGAGAGACCCUCGAGCCUGCUGGAAGGGACCCUACAACGUGGCGCUGACAACCCCCACCACUCUCAAAGUAGACGGCAGCGCGACCGGGGUCCAUCACACCCACGUUCAGCCAGUGGACCCCUCCUCGAUCUGGAAGGACUUCAUCACACAAUGGGCCAUCAAUCGGGACCAACACAACCCGCUCAAGCUACAGCGCAUUCAACCCACCUGAUAUUGGUAACUCUGUUAACUCUGCUUGUCAUUGCUCAUGCUGCCAGGAGUCCCCACACCCCCCAAAACAUUACCUAGCAGAUCAUAGACACCAGCUCAGGGACAAUACUUAAUCAGACAUCCCAGACCCACCCUAGAGACACAUGGUUCCCGGAAUUACGAGUAGACUUAGAAAGCCUGUUUCCCCCUUAUACCGGCCACCCCAGGGUUGAUACCACAGGGUUCAGGCGAUAAGACUUUCACUUCUAUGUCUGUCCUGGUGGAAAAGACCGUGGGGACACUUGCGGGGAUGCGGCAGACUACUUCUGCGCCUCUUGGUCAUGUGUCACCACUGGACACAUCUGGUGGCACCGGAGAUCUCAUCGUGGUAACGCAGCCUGGUGGCCCCCGACCACCGUAUGUCUUGGGCCAUGGUAAUCCUGUGUCAAUAUCUUUCACAGAACAAGGAAAAAAGGCAACAGGGAGGGAAGCUGGAAAAACCUGGGGGUCAGGCUUUAUGACAAGGUCAGACUUGGGACUCGAGAUAAAGGAAUGUUAUUUACCCUCCGAAUGCAAGGAACCCCCCCUUGCCCAGCAGUCCCCCACAGGGGUAGGACCCAACCAAGUACUAGUUCCCCGACCUGCCCCCGCCCAGACGGCAACGCCCAGAAACACCCAGCCUCCGGCUAUACGGCCCUCCACAUCCCCUGUCCCUACCGGAGCGUCACCCACAUCUUCUGCCCCGGGUCACAACUUACUCUCUGAUACAGACCCCCUAUGGAGCUCGGUUGUCAGAGCAUACCAGGUACUAAACACUUCUAGGCCCAACCUGACCAAGUCCUGUUGGCUCUGUCUAGAUGUGUGGCCCCCAUAUUACGAAGAUAUUGCCAUUAAAGGCAAUUAUACAACAGCCUCCAACUCUAAGUCCUGCAGAUGGCAGCAGGCUACUGCAAGACUAACCCUCCAGGCAAUAACAGGACAGGGCACUUGCAUAGGCCACGUGCCCCCCGGGCAGUCACAUCUCUGUAGUGAAACCCUAACAGUCCCCAGGGAGACAGUGUAUCUACUUCCCCCCAAAAAUGCAUGGUGGGCCUGUUCCAGAGGCCUCGCUCCCUGUGUCCACUCCCAAGUCCUUAACUCCUCGAAGGAAGGCUUCUGAAUACUCGUGCAGUUGAUCCUCAAGCUAGUGUACCAUUUGGGGGGGAAAAAUACUUAACAGGUUAGGCUCUACUAACCCCCGAAGUAAAAGAGAGCCUAUUAGAACCCUAACUCUGGCUGCGCUCUUGGGACUGGGAUUAGCGGGGGCAGGGACUGGAAUAUCCUCACUGGUCAUCCAGGACAAAAACUCCGGAACCCUAAGGGCAGCCAUUGACUUAGACAUAGAAAGAAUUGAGAAAUCAAUUUCUCAUUUACAGGUAUCCCUUAAUUCCUUAUCAGAAGUAGUACUCCAAAACAGAAGGGGAUUAGACUUAUUAUUCAUGCAACAAGGAGGACUAUGUGCAGCCCUAGGGGAAGAAUGUUUCUUCUAUGUUGAUCACUCGGGGGUCGUAAAAGAAUCUAUGGCCCUCAUAAGAGAAGGGCUGCAAAAACAAAAGUUAGAGAACAAUCUCAGUCCUGGUACGAGUCUUUGUUCAACUGGUCUCCCUGGUUAACUACCCUCAUCUCGGCCCUUGCCAGAUCCCUUGCCAUCCUGCUCCUACUAGUAACCCUCGGACCCUGUAUCAUCAACAAGCUGGUCCAGUUUGUCAAUCAACAAGCUGGUCCAGUUUAUCAGGGACCUCGUGGGGGCCAUCCAACUAAUGGUCCUCCACGCUCAGUACAAGCCCCUAGUAACAGAAGAAGACAAAAUAGAAAUGCAGCCCGUCCCAUGAUUGGGUCUGUAAGCUACAUGACAAGGGGGGAAUGAAAGAGCGGACUUAGGCCGGUGGACUCCAUUUUGUUCUGUGUCCUCCAUCUUGAGUGACUAUGUCCCCGACAUGGCCCCCUUUUCCAGGAAAACCGCGGAAAGAAAUUCCCUCUCACCUGCUAAAACCCCCUCCCCUUGAGUAACUUCCCACUUACCCGUUCAAACUUCCCAUUCAAACCACACCCGGCAACCUGCGCAACAGGACUCUGAUCCUUCCUCAGCCAAUUGGCUAAGGCCACGACCAUCACCCCACCAACUGCCCCUAGACCCCUAUAAAACCUUUGUGCUUUUGAAACUCGCUCUCUCUCUCUCCGGCAUCUCACCGCUGCAUCAGUGCAGGUAGGAGAUUGAACUUGAGCUAGCUCGAAUAAAGGCUCCUUGCUUUUGCAUC